rnacentral:rRNA from 1 species
UACGUAGGGGGCAAGCGUUGUCCGGAAUCAUUGGGCGUAAAGAGCGUGUAGGCGGCUUGGUAAGUCCGCUGUGAAAGUCCAGGGCUCAACCCUGGAAAGCCGGUGGAAACUGUCAAGCUUGAGUCCGGAAGAGGCGAGUGGAAUUCCUGGUGUAGCGGUGAAAUGCGCAGAUAUCAGGAGGAACACCGAUGGCGAAGGCAGUGGGCUGGGCCGGCACUGACGCUGAGGAGCGAAAGCGUGGGGAGCGAACAGG